rnacentral:rRNA from 1 species
GACGAACGCUGGCGGCGUGCCUAACACAUGCAAGUCGAGCGGGGAACGGAUGGUAGCUUGCUACUGUUUGUUUCUAGCGGCGGACGGGUGAGUAACGCGUGAGCAACCUGCCUUUAUCAGGGGGAUAACGCAUCGAAAGAUGUGCUAAUACCGCGUAAGGCCACAGCUUCACAUGGAGCGGGGGUCAAAGGAGCAAUCCGGAUAAAGAUGGGCUCGCGUCCGAUUAGCUAGUUGGUGAGAUAACAGCCCACCAAGGCGACGAUCGGUAGCCGACCUGAGAGGGUGAUCGGCCACAUUGGAACUGAGAGACGGUCCAGACUCCUACGGGAGGCAGCAGUGGGGAAUAUUGGGCAAUGGGCGAAAGCCUGACCCAGCAACGCCGCGUGAGGGAAGAAGGGUUUCGGCUCGUAAACCUCUGUCCUAUGGGACGAAGGAAGUGACGGUACCAUAG